UACGAAGGGGGGCUAGCGUUGUUCGGAAUUACUGGGCGUAAAGCGCGCGCAGGCGGUCUUCCAAGUCAGUGGUGAAAGCCCGGAGCUCAACUCCGGAACUGCCAUUGAAACUGUAAGACUUGAGGAUGAGAGAGGUGAGUGGAAUUCCCAGUGUAGAGGUGAAAUUCGUAGAUAUUGGGAAGAACACCGGUGGCGAAGGCGGCUCACUGGCUCAUUUCUGACGCUCAGGCGCGACAGCGUGGGGAUCAAACAGG
rnacentral:rRNA from 1 species